GCAGAUGUGGUGUAAUGGUAUCACAGUAGCUUGCUAAGCUAUCCGGCAGAAAUGCCGUCAAGGUUCGAAUCCUUGCAUCUGCG
rnacentral:tRNA from 1 species